rnacentral:sRNA from 1 species
GCCGUCCGCCCGCCGACAGCUCCCUGAGCCAGCCCGGGAGGCAGCCGCGCGCAGCGAGCCGGUGGCGCAGGUGUCGGGGUCCCCGAGCGCCCAGCCUGGGAGCAUGAUUGUGGACAAGCUGCUGGACGACAGCCGCGGCGGAGAGGGGCUGCGGGACGCGGCGGGCGGCUGCGGCCUCAUGACCAGCCCGCUCAACCUGAGCUACUUCUACGGCGCGUCGCCGCCCGCCGCCGCCCCGGGCGCCUGCGAAGCCAGCUGCUCGGUCUUGGGCCCCUCGGCGCCCGGCUCGCCCGGCUCCGACUCCUCUGACUUCUCUUCUGCCUCGUCGGUGUCCUCCUGCGGCGCCGUGGAGUCCCGGUCGAGAGGCGGCGCCCGCGCCGAGCGCCAGCCAGUUGAGCCCCAUAUGGGGGUUGGCAGGCAGCAGAGAGGCCCCUUUCAAGGUGUUCGGGUAAAGAACUCAGUGAAGGAACUCCUGUUGCACAUCCGAAGUCAUAAACAGAAGGCUUCUGGCCAAGCUGUGGAUGAUUUUAAGACACAAGGUGUGAACAUAGAACAGUUCAGAGGUAAGAGUUACUUGUAUUUGUAAUUUUUUCAGGGCUUUGGAGUAAAUAAU